GGCCGCCUCUGGUCCCCUCUUCGCAGCCCCACUCUGCUGAGCGCUGGAGAUCCACGCAGUGGGUUGGCCCUCCCGGCCUUGAGCCAGCCCUGACCCAGGCAGCACGCUGCUAGGGGAAACCAGCUGCCAUGUCAUGAAGAGAGGCCCACUGGUGAAGAACUGAGCCUCCAGCCAAGAGCCAUGUGAGGGCGCCAUCUUCGAACUGGAUCUUCCAGCCCCAGCCAACCUCUCGGCCACAAAUUCAUGAGACAGCCUGAACGAGAACCACCUAGGCAAGCUGCUCCCGAAGUCCUGACCCAUGGAAACUCUAUUACCAAGCUGCCUUCAACUGAGGAUGUAUCAGUUUAGAUCCUGCCAGAAUUUAUUUCCACACGUGCUCUGAAAUGUGCCAACAUGGACACGAACCUCACUGCAGUGUUAUUCCUAAGAGUCCCAGACUGCAAGCAAGCCAAGUGACCCUCCAUAGCAGAGAGGAUAAACAACUGAUGGUCUCAUCAUCCCACGGAAUAAUAUAAAGCCAUGAAAAAGAACAGAGUUUGGCCACCCACGCAUGGAGGAAUCUCACAGGCAUGUCGUGAGUGAAAGAAGCCAGACUUGCAACAGUACUUACUGUGGGAUUCCAGGGAGAUGAAUCAAUCACGAAGUUAAGAGGAAGAAACAAUCUAUGAUGAUAGAGAUUAAAACAGCAGUUGGCCUCGGAUGGUGGGGGUAUUGACCAGAUGGGCACGAGAGAGUCCCCUGAGGUGCUCGGAAUGUCCUAUACCUCGAUCUGGGGGAUAGUUACAUGGGCCUAUAAAUAUGUAAAAACUCGUCAAGUUAUGUGUGCUUCACUGAUGUAAGCUCUGAUAAAAAGUAAAAAGGCUAAAAAAAAAAAAAGCCAACCCUGACAUGCAAACAACAUGGCCUCGGCAGCAGGCCGUCUCCUUAGCUACGAAGGGUCACACAGACUCCCUGUCUCUCUCGUCCAGUCUUGAACCAGCUGU
rnacentral:lncRNA from 1 species